AAGCUUCAUCAGCACAUAUACUAUGAAUUGGAACAAUACAGAGACUAUUAGCAUUGCCCCUGCACAAAGAUGACAUACAAAUCCAUGAAGCAUUCUAUAUUAAA
ensembl:snRNA U6 U6 spliceosomal RNA